CCUACAUAAGGCCUUUUUAGGAAUUUUUCCAUUGCCGGUGAAGUGUUCGGAUCGCUGUGAUGCGGGCGGUUCGCCGCCCGUGACUCUGCGAGAAGUCCAUUGAACCUUAUCAUUUAGAGGAAGGAGAAGUCGUAACAAGGUUUCCGUAGGUGAACCUGCGGAAGGAUCAUUGUCGAGACCGAAAUAUAUCGAGCGAUUUGGAGAACCCGUGAACGAGCGGCGGCGCCAGCCGUCGCGCAACUGCCGUCUCCAUCGUCGGCCUCAUAGAAUGGGUCCGCGAUGGAAGGCGGAUGAAAACAAACCGGCGCAGCUGCGCGCCAAGGGAAUACAAAUAGACGCGGGCCUGUAUCGGGUUCGUUGGCGUGGAGUGCGGUGGCGCACCACACGGAUAAAAAUGACUCUCGGCAAUGGAUAUCUCGGCUCUCGCAUCGAUGAAGAGCGCAGCGAAAUGCGAUACGUGGUGCGAAUUGCAGAAUCCCGCGAACCAUCGAGAAUUUGAACGCAAGUUGCGCCCGAGGCCAGCCGGCCAAGGGCACGUCCGCCUGGGCGUCAAGCGUUACGUCGCUCCGUGCCAGCUCCCUCCCACCCGACGGGUGUGCACGGGGGAGGGUCGGAUGUGCAGAGUGGCUCGUCGUGCCCGCGGGCGCGGCGGGCUAAAGAGCGGGUGAUCGUCUCGUUGGCCACGAACAACAGGGGGUGGAUGAAAAUUGUGCCUGUGUUGUAUCGCGCUGGCGUGAGAAGAGAUUAUACCCGGCGGAUGAUCCCGGCCCAAGCGUCGGUCCACGGACGUCGGCUUGGAAUGCGACCCCAGGAUGGGCGAGGCCACCCGCUGAGUUUAAGCAUAUCAAUAAGCGGAGGAGAAGAAACUUACGAGGAUUCCCCUAGUAACGGCGAGCGAACCGGGGGAAUUCUAAAAUGU
rnacentral:rRNA from 1 species